rnacentral:lncRNA from 1 species
UUUGAUAUUGUCACCAGGUUCAGAUAAAUGGAAAAUUAUUUGUAGUUAGUUAGUCUGAGAGGUACUGAAGAACUCUGUAAAGCUGAUCAGGUUUUGCUAGACUUUGAAAUUCUUGGGGCCCCCGCAACCAGCAGAUACAUCCAAUUAUUUGAAAGGGUGAUGAAAAAAGUUGGUCUGAUUAAACUGAGACCAUUCUCUGACUUCCUAAGCUCUCAGACAACUUAGGAACCAAUACACACUGCACAUGUCUCUUUCUGAAAUGUUCUCCGCCUUAGUUUUUAUGAGAGAGUGAAAGCACAGUUCUGUAAUAUAUGAAGAAAUCUGUGGAUUCUGUAGAGACAGGAACAGCGUGACAUAAAUCUCAGGAAGGCAUCUUAUUUCACAAAUUUCCCAUUUGAUUCCUGCUAUUGUGUGAGGCUGGGCUCUUCAUCUCUAUCAAAAUCAGUCUGGAAGCCUUCUGAGAUUGCCUCUAGAAAAGCCAAUACUCCCGCGGAUUGGACCACAGAUGCUAUAACCAAACUGAGAAUCAGAAACGCUAAGUAACUUGCCCAAGAAUGCAUAGUAAUAAAAGCCUACUUACCUGUGGUGACCCUGGAUUCUGUACAACUGAUUUGUUGAUACAGAAGAGAGUCAUGCAAACUACAGAAAUCCACCCAAAACCGAGAGAAGGAGAGUAUCUGUUUUCAGAGGAGCUGUCUGCUUUGGGAGGAAGUUCCAGAAGUGAGCCUCAGGAAUUACAACAUUAAUUGAGAAACUGAAUGAUUAAAAUUGUAGUAACAAAUAGCUUUCCUUGGAACU